GGACGAACGCUGGCGGCGUGCUUAACACAUGCAAGUCGAACGGAAAGGCCCUGCUUUUGUGGGGUGCUCGAGUGGCGAACGGGUGAGUAACACGUGAGUAACCUGCCCUUGACUUUGGGAUAACUUCAGGAAACUGGGGCUAAUACCGGAUAGGAGCUCCUGCUGCAUGGUGGGGGUUGGAAAGUUUCGGCGGUUGGGGAUGGACUCGCGGCUUAUCAGCUUGUUGGUGGGGUAGUGGCUUACCAAGGCUUUGACGGGUAGCCGGCCUGAGAGGGUGACCGGCCACAUUGGGACUGAGAUACGGCCCAGUCUCCUACGGGAGGCAGCAGUGGGGAAUAUUGCACAAUGGGCGGAAGCCUGAUGCAGCAACGCCGCGUGCGGGAUGACGGCCUUCGGGUUGUAAACCGCUUUCGCCUGUGACGAAGCGUGAGUGACGGUAAUGGGUAAAGAAGCACCGGCUAACUACGUG
rnacentral:rRNA from 1 species